UACGUAGGUGGCGAGCGUUGUCCGGAUUUACUGGGCGUAAAGGGCGUGCAGGCGGUUUGUUAAGUGCAGGGUGAAAGCCCCCGGCUCAACCUGGGGAGGGUCACGCGAUACUGAUCGACUCGAAGGCAGGAGAGGGUAGUGGAAUUCCCGGUGUAGUGGUGAAAUGCGUAGAUAUCGGGAGGAACACCAGUGGCGAAGGCGACUACCUGGCCUGUUCUUGACGCUGAGGCGCGAAAGCUAGGGGAGCAAACGGG
rnacentral:rRNA from 1 species